AUACGGAGGGAGCGAGCGUUAAUCGGAAUUACUGGGCGUAAAGCGCGCGUAGGCGGCUUUGUAAGUCGGAUGUGAAAGCCCUGGGCUCAACCUGGGAAUGGCAUUCGAUACUGCAGAGCUAGAGUAUGGUAGAGGGAAGUGGAAUUUCCGGUGUAGCGGUGAAAUGCGUAGAUAUCGGAAGGAACACCAGUGGCGAAGGCGGCUCACUGGCCCGGUACUGACGCUGAGGCGCGAAAGCGUGGGGAGCAAACAGGAUUAGAAACCCCGGUAGUCC
rnacentral:rRNA from 1 species